UCACCCGGGAUCGCAACAACGGUGGCAACUGCUGAGAAGCCCUCUACUCAAGGGUCACCAACAGUGACCGGAAAGCCACCAACAGAAUCUAAUGGAGGCUCCAUAACUGAGAUGUCAACAACCACUAAAGGACCAUCCGUGACCGAAAGCGCAUCAAAAGCCGGAAUCACUCCAGAGACCUU